UCAGCUAGGUGGGCAAGAGGUGGCUUAACAGGAGAAGUGUCCCCGAUUGCUGUUCUGGAAAUGCUGGAUUAGUGGUGCCUAUGGGAGAAGCUAUGGGUAAAGAUCUGGGUUAGAGAGAGGGACUUGGGAGUUAUCUGCAUAUCCCCCGAGAGAGGAUGCGUUUCGCCAGGGAGUGUGUGUGGAGAGCAAGAUAGCGGUGAGUCAGAGCGGAAUCCCGGAGAACAGCCACGUGCCUGGGACAGGGAGCCGGAGAGGAGCCCCUUUCAGAGGGAGGGUGGAGAGUGGCUGUAAGGGAUCAGGAAGCUUCGGAGAAGGAUAAUCCGUAUCCUCAAAUGCCUCAGAAAAUUCUAGUAAGGGAAGAAAUGCAACUAGUCCAUUCAAUUUGUUAUCUAUCGAGGAAGUCGUUGGUCACCUUGGUGACAUCGGUUUUGGUAGUGGGGUGGGGACAGAAGCAGAGUACAAAGAGCUGGGAAUGAAUGGAUGUGUAGACAGCAAGUCAUCUGGAGGGGCAGGGGAGAGGGAAGCUGAGAAGUAACUAGAGGAAGACAUGGGCCACGAGACUCGAGUACUGAGAAUGAAAAUGUUUGAAAUAUUUCAAGAAUUGCCAACACGUGACCCAGAGAGAGGAAGUGAGCCAAUGCUGUUGGAAAAAUGGUGCCCGUAGACUUGCUGGACGGAGGGUUGUCACAGACCUUCAGUGUGUAAAGACGCAAUUAUCUGCAAAGUGAAGCACAAUGAAAUGAGGUCUGUCUGCCUGUGCAUUUAGAGGCUUCAAGGGAGAUGGAAGAGAUUUGAUAAAAAUGAAACAGAGGGGAUAACUGUCAAAGUCUGUCGGUAGUCAUCAAGAGAGAGAAUAAAGGCACAGAAAGAGGGCCCCGCCUCGGCGAAUGAAGAGUCUGGCGAAGUGUUUCAGCCCUUUUCCAAGACAGUAUCUCGGAACAGCUCACUGUGUCUUUCUGUGAGUAAUGGAGUCCCUGGGUACAGAGAGGGUCUGAGGGUGGAGGCCAGGAAGCAGAGGCCUCUCACGUACCUUCUGGCUGCAUCUCCCAAGCCCGGCCAGCUUCUGAUCCACGGCAGGGAACAUCUCAGCCGUGCAGAUGCAGCCAUCCCACGCUGGCUGCACGGAGCCCCGAGUUCUGAUGUGCCAAGAGAGCUUGGGACUCUUGUCAAAUCACCAAACAGGAAGUUGGCCGUGCUGCAAACAGGCCUGCAAGCUGUUGACAGCCGGAUAUCGGGCAGUGGAGCCAGGCCCCGCCACUUGACAGGCAAGGCCCCCAAGACUCGGGGGCAAUCUGUAUUCCAACUCACGCCCCUGGCCACGCUGCGAGCCCUCCAGCCCGACGCCGAGCACUGCCCGGGCUCUGGACCCACAGAUGCUGUGGCGGCAGCUCACACAGGCCCCUUUGUUCAGAGACUCUGCACGCAUCAGCCAAGGCAGCUUCCUCUGGCCAUUUGCUCAGGGCCUGGGAAAGAAAGGUCUCGCCGUCAAGCUGCCUGAGCGGCCAGCUUUGAGCAUAGAGGGGGCUGCUCGCUGAAAGCUAGUUGGCUGUACCACGUCCACAAGCGGAGCUUGAAGAACUCGGCCAGAAUUAUGGCAACGCCUCACUCGGGUGCCAUCCGGGCCUGCUUGCGGCUGGCCGGGGGCCCUCGGCAGCCCCUGCUUGUUAACCGGAUUGAGAAAGUGACUCCGACAGAGAAGCCUCAGUCAACACUGGCGCUGUGGGCCAUCUCUUCAAAUGACAAAGGGCCUCUUGCUUUGUGUGUGAAGAAGAGCAGGAGAGAUUCAACACGGAGCACAGGACCUGUCGAACCUUCCUCCUCCUUGCUCCCCGCUAUAUAUUCAUUCAUUCAGCAUGUAGUGGGUGUCUGGCAUUGCUGGUUACUGGGGGCGUGAGAUGACGGGUCCAUCUCUGAGUUCACCGACCAUUGGAAGAGGGAGAGAUGCAAAUACUCAUCGCUGUUCUUGAAGCUGCUGAUACUCGUAAUCAUGUACGUGGGUCUACACAGGUGGCGACAGCUCACGGUAAAGAAACGUCAGACCUUACUUUUGUGUUUGAGAUAUUUGGUUUAGCGGUAUCAUCAUAUGCCCUGUAAUUUACAUUUACAACUUAACAAUGUGUUUUCUGAAACAUUAUCUCCUUUAAUCCUCACAGCAAUCCUGAGAUCAGGGAUUUGAUCUCUGCUUUACAAAUGAAGACACUGAGGUACCAACUAAGUGGCUGUUCAAAGAGGCUUUGAAGUCAGGGUGUCAGGGUAGCCCUGGCGCUGCCUACUCCCUGGGCUGCCUUCCCGCAGCCCAGGCCUGGGGUUCAUCCUUCGGUAAAGGGGGUGGGAAGAGAAUUUUAAAGCCUGAGCGGAGCCCUCCACCCCGCUUUCUUUCUUCGGCCUCAGCUGCCUGUCUCUUUCUUUUUCAGUUUCCAAACUAUAAAAAAGAAAUAAAAAUAG